GGUAUACAUGGAGGUCUUUUGUCCACUCUAACCCAUUCUGUGUAAGGAACGAAAAGCUCUUUUGCGAUACAGAGGCUGAGAGGGAGAGAGAGAGAGUGAGAGAGAGAGCCUUUUGGUCGGAGCCUUGCCAUGGAACAUUCAGUCUAUCUGACGGCGGUAAAGGCGGAGGACUAGCUGUGCCCUUCUCGUCGUCCUUCUGCAGGAAACUAUCGACGCAGGAAAUUAUUUGUGGAUCAGGAGCGUAAAGUUGGCUGUGAAGAGUAACUUAGCACCUAAGGGGAAUUAUGCUUGAUAGUUCUGUCUGCCGUAGCCAGAACUCGAACCCGGACUCUUGGUUUACUUACAGCGUUGAGCGGUCGUCUUGAACCAUACGGCUAUCGCUUCCUGAUUCGAAUACUGGCCGGAGCAGAGGCACUUAUCCAUUAAAAUUGUGUAGAAAAAUAUGAUUAUUCGUAGAGAAGCGUCCGGCGUCUCGACGCACAUCGGUAGCAGUCCCAACUCCCAAGUGAGGUGUUGACUGGUAGCGCCCCCAAGCCAGCCAUCCAGCACAGCUAGAGCCAGUAACACGAGCGCGGGUUCUCGCUUCCCCCCGCCGGUAUUUUCGCCAUAAACCCACAGGCUGCCGUCGUUACUGCUGUGCUCCCGCCGACGUUGCUGCUGCUUCUGCUGCUGCUGCUGCUGCUGCCGCUGCUGCUGCUUCGACUUCAUCUCUCUCUCUCUCUCUCUCUCUCUCUCUCUCUCUCUGCUUCGUUGAUCUCCACCUUCUUUCGUCGUCAACCCUUCACUUCUAUUCCUCUCUUGUACCAUCUCUUACCUCCGUCUCUCUCCACUCCACGUUAGCGGACAUCAUCGAUAUUUGUAGCACCGC